UGCAAGUCGAACGAAGUAGCAAUACUUAGUGGCAGACGGGUGAGUAACAUGUGGGUAUCUUCCCUUUGGCCUGGAAUAACACGAGGAAACUUGUGCUAAUACCGGAUAAGUCUUUACGGAGAAAGCUUUAUGCACCAUUGGAUGAGCCCGCACUUGAUUAGUUUGUUGGUAGGGUAAUGGCCUACCAAGACUUUGAUCAAUAGCUGAUUUGAGAGGAUGAUCAGCCACAUUGGGACUGAGACACGGCCCAAACUCCUACGGGAGGCAGCAGUGGGGAAUCUUGCACAAUGGAGGAAACUCUGAUGCAGCGAUGCCGCGUGAGUGAAGAAGGCCCUUGGGUUGUAAAGCUCUUUCGUCGGGGAAGAAAAUGACUGUACCCGAAUAAGAAGGUCCGGCUAACUUCGUGCCAGCAGCCGCGGUAAUACGAAGGGACCUAGCGUAGUUCGGAAUUACUGGGCUUAAAGAGUUCGUAGGUGGUUGAAAAAGUUGGUGGUGAAAUCCCAGAGCUUAACUCUGGAACUGCCAUCAAAACCUUUCAGCUAGAGUUUGAUAGAGGAAAGCAGAAUUUCUAGUGUAGAGGUGAAAUUCGUAGAUAUUAGAAAGAAUACCAAUUGCGAAGGCAGCUUUCUGGAUCAUUACUGACACUGAGGAACGAAAGCAUGGGUAGCGAAGAGGAUUAGAUACCCUCGUAGUCCAUGCCGUAAACGAUGUGUGUUAGACGUUGGAAAUUUAUUUUCAGUGUCGCAGCGAAAGCGAUAAACACACCGCCUGGGG
rnacentral:rRNA from 1 species